rnacentral:ncRNA from 1 species
UCACAGACUAUGAUGGAGAUAAGUAAUCCACUGCACCCUAACAGGGACGGUACGCCACUGAUUGAGAGCGAACCGACAGGAGUUGCACGGAUGAAAUUCACUCCAGAGUCGACUUCCUGAACGCACCCGGGUUGCGGUAGGGAAGUCCGGCACACGCCGUUAUCGUGUUAAGUGAGAAACCAAUUCUAUUGGCUGUCUAACGAGGGUGGUACCGCGGAUAUAUUUCCGUCCCUUGC